rnacentral:rRNA from 1 species
CCUACGGGUGACUGCAGUCGAGAAUCAUUCACAAUGGGGGAAACCCUGAUGGUGCGACGCCGCGUGGGGGAAUGAAGUUCUUCGGAUUGUAAACCCCUGUCAUGUGGGAGCAAAUUAAAAAGAUAGUACCACAAGAGGAAGAGACGGCUAACUCUGUGCCAGCAGCCACGGUAAUACAGAGGUCUCAAGCGUUGUUCGGAAUCACUGGGCGUAAAGCGUGCGUAGGCUGUUUCGUAAGUCGUGUGUGAAAGGCGCGGGCUCAACCCGCGGACGGCACAUGAUACUGCGAGACUAGAGUAAGGGAGGGGGAAGCGGAAUUCUCGGUGUAGCAGUGAAAUGCGUAGAUAUCGAGAGGAACACUCGUGGCGAAGGCGGGUUCCUGGACAUUAACUGACGCUGAGGCACGAAGGCCAGGGGAGCGAAAGGGAUUAGAUACCCUUGUAGUC